GCAGUGGUGGUUCUGUGGUAGAAUUUCUGCUUGCCAUGCAGGAGACCUGGGUUCUAGCCCAGCCAAUGCA
rnacentral:tRNA from 1 species